UACGUAGGGUGCGAGCGUUGUCCGGAAUCAUUGGGCGUAAAGAGCGUGUAGGCGGCUUGGCAAGUCUGACGUGAAAGCCCGCGGCUCAACCGCGGAUUGUCGUUGGAAACUGCCUCGCUAGAGUCCGGAAGAGGAGAGCGGAAUUCCUGGUGUAGCGGUGGAAUGCGCAGAUAUCAGGAAGAACACCCGUGGCGAAGGCGGCUCUCUGGGACGGUACUGACGCUGAGACGCGAAAGCGUGGGGAGCGAACAGG
rnacentral:rRNA from 1 species